rnacentral:rRNA from 1 species
UACGUAGGGUGCAAGCGUUGUCCGGAAUUAUUGGGCGUAAAGAGCUCGUAGGCGGUCUGUCGCGUCGGCUGUGAAAACUCGGGGCUCAACCCCGCGCUUGCAUUCGAUACGGGCAGGCUCGAGUUCGGUAGGGGAGACUGGAAUUCCUGGUGUAGCGGUGAAAUGCGCAGAUAUCAGGAGGAACACCGGUGGCGAAGGCGGGUCUCUGGGCCGAUACUGACGCUGAGGAGCGAAAGCGUGGGGAGCGAACAGG